rnacentral:sRNA from 1 species
AUUUAUACUACUACUUGUCAUGCUUACUGUUGUUGGAAUUCAAUUCACAUAAACUAUCCGAAGGAAAGGAAACAUUCAGUGACUACUACCCCUAAAGACUAAUACUUCUACAAAAUACAUUGGAAAUUCUCUUUACUGUUAAACGUUGAAGACUUGAUAGUCUCAAAAGCUAUAACAAUCCAAUGGUUUCAGGGGAAAUUAUCAAAUAAUUUCCAAAAUGAUUGGAGUUCUUUCACCACCCUCAUCACUCCAACCUUUGGUUUUUUUCCUAUAGGCUGUUAUUUGAUACAACAUUCUCAAAGCGAACAAACCAUUGAUCAUUAGAGCACUUCUGAGAUUGUAACCUUUCCAUCUGUGGGGGAUGGAGGUUGUUUCCCUUUUGAAUCACAAAUUGUGCAUAAUCAAUGGUCUUUGAAGGAGGAGCAAAGAUGUUGCUGGGAGGUGCUGGGAGUAGUGAUGCCAAAACCCUGGCAACCUCAUGCAUAGUUGGCCUCUCAGAAGGGUUUCCUUUUGUGCAAAGAAGAGCAAGCUGAAAGGUCUUCUUAACAUGGGUCAGAUCCAUGCAGGUCUCUGUCAAUGCCAGAAGUGCAUGAUUCAAGUU